rnacentral:rRNA from 1 species
GAUGAACGCUAGCGGCAGGCCUAACACAUGCAAGUCGAGGGGCAGCACAGAAACAGCAAUGUUUUGGUGGCGACCGGCGGACGGGUGCGUAACGCGUAUGCAACCUACCUUUAACAGGGGGAUAACGGAGAGAAAUUUCCACUAAUACCCCAUAAAAUCGAUCAAGGCAUUUUGAUUGGUUGAAAAAUACGGUGGUUAAAGAUGGGCAUGCGUUGUAUUAGGUAGUUGGUGAGGUAAUGGCUCACCAAGCCUACGAUACAUAGGGGGACUGAGAGGUUAGCCCCCCACACUGGUACUGAGACACGGACCAGACUCCUACGGGAGGCAGCAGUGAGGAAUAUUGGUCAAUGUGGGCAACCCUGAACCAGCCAUGCCGCGUGCAGGAAGACGGCUCUACGAGUUGUAAACUGCUUUUAAACAGGGAUAAAGCACAGUAUGUAUACUGUGUUGAAGGUACUGUAAGAAUAAGGAUCGGCUAACUCCGUGCCAGCCGCCGCGGUAA